rnacentral:rRNA from 1 species
UAGCUAGUUGGUGAGGUAAAGGCUUACCAAGGCGACGAUCUGUAGCGGGUCUGAAAGGAUGAUCCGCCGCACUGGAACUGAGACACGGUCCAGACUCCUACGGGAGGCAGCAGUGGGGAAUUUUGGACAAUGGGGGCAACCCUGAUCCAGCCAUGCCGCGUGAGUGAAGAAGGCCUUCGGGUUGUAAAGCUCUUUCGGCCGGGAAGAAAUCGCAUGGGCCAAUACCCUGUGUGGAUGACGGUACCGGAAUAAGAAGCACCGGCUAACUACGUGCCAGCAGCCGCGGUAAUACGUAGGGUGCGAGCGUUAAUCGGAAUUACUGGGCGUAAAGCGUGCGCAGGCGGUUUUGUAAGACAGGCGUGAAAUCCCCGGGCUUAACCUGGGAACUGCGUUUGUGACUGCAAGGCUAGAGUACGGCAGAGGGGGGUGGAAUUCCACGUGUAGCAGUGAAAUGCUUAGAGAUGUGGAGGAACACCAAUGGCGAAGGCAGCCCCCUGGGUCGAUACUGACGCUCAUGCACGAAAGCGUGGGUAGCAAACAGGAUUAGAUACCCUGGUAGUCCACGCCCUAAACUAUGUCAACUAGGUGUUGGGUGGGUAAAACCAUUUAGUACCGUAGCUAACGCGUGAAGUUGACCGCCUGGGGAGUACGGCCGCAAGGUUAAAACUCAAAGGAAUUGACGGGGACCCGCACAAGCGGUGGAUGAUGUGGAUUAAUUCGAUGCAACGCGAAAAACCUUACCUACCCUUGACAUGCCAGGAACUUGCCAGAGAUGGCUUGGUGCCCGAAAGGGAGCCUGGACACUGGUGCUGCAUGGCUGUCGUCAGCUCGUGUCGUGAGAUGUUGGGUUAAGUCCCGCAACGAGCGCAACCCUUGUCGUUAAUUGCCAUCAUUUAGUUGGGCACUUUAACGAGACUGCCGGUGACAAACCGGAGGAAGGUGGGGAUGACGUCAAGUCCUCAUGGCCCUUAUGGGUAGGGCUUCACACGUCAUACAAUGGUCGGUACAAAGGGUUGCCAAGCCGCGAGGCGGAGCCAAUCCCAGAAAGCCGAUCGUAGUCCGGAUUGCAGGCUGCAACUCGCCUGCAUGAAGUCGGAAUCGCUAGUAAUCGUGGAUCAGCAUGUCACGGUGAAUACGUUCCCGGGUCUUGUACACACCGCCCGUCUCACCAUGGGAGCGGGUUCCGCCAGAAGUAGGUAGCCUAACCGCAAGGGGGGCGCUUACCACGGCGGGGUUCGUGACUGGGGUGAAGUCGUAACAAGGUAGCCGUAGGGGAACCUGCGGCUG